UACAGAGGGUGCAAGCGUUAAUCGGAGUUACUGGGCGUAAAGGGCGCGUAGGCGGUUAUAUAAGUUGGAUGUGAAAUCCCUGGGCUUAACCUAGGAACUGCAUCCAAGACUGUAUGACUGGAGUACUGUAGAGGGUAGUGGAAUUUCCGGUGUAGCGGUGAAAUGCGUAGAGAUCGGAAGGAACACCAGUGGCGAAGGCGGCUACCUGGACAGAUACUGACGCUGAGGCGCGAGAGCGUGGGGAGCAAACAGG
rnacentral:rRNA from 1 species